UGCAGUCGAGCGAACUGAUUAGAAGCUUGCUUCUAUGACGUUAGCGGCGGACGGGUGAGUAACACGUGGGCAACCUGCCUGUAAGACUGGGAUAACUUCGGGAAACCGAAGCUAAUACCGGAUAGGAUCUUCUCCUUCAUGGGAGAUGAUUGAAAGAUGGUUUCGGCUAUCACUUACAGAUGGGCCCGCGGUGCAUUAGCUAGUUGGUGAGGUAACGGCUCACCAAGGCAACGAUGCAUAGCCGACCUGAGAGGGUGAUCGGCCACACUGGGACUGAGACACGGCCCAGACUCCUACGGGAGGCAGCAGUAGGGAAUCUUCCGCAAUGGACGAAAGUCUGACGGAGCAACGCCGCGUGAGUGAUGAAGGCUUUCGGGUCGUAAAACUCUGUUGUUAGGGAAGAACAAGUACAAGAGUAACUGCUUGUACCUUGACGGUACCUAACCAGAAAGCCACGGCUAACUACGUGCCAGCAGCCGCGGUAAUACGUAGGUGGCAAGCGUUAUCCGGAAUUAUUGGGCGUAAAGCGCGCGCAGGCGGUUUCUUAAGUCUGAUGUGAAAGCCCACGGCUCAACCGUGGAGGGUCAUUGGAAACUGGGGAACUUGAGUGCAGAAGAGAAAAGCGGAAUUCCACGUGUAGCGG
rnacentral:rRNA from 1 species